AACGUAGGAGACAAACGUUAUCCGGAGUUACUGGGCGUAAAGGGCGUGUAGGUGGUAAUGUAAGUCUGGCGUGAAAUUUUUCGGCUUAACCGGGAAAGGUCGUCGGAUACUGCAUCACUAGAGGACGGUAGAGGCGUGUGGAAUUCCGGGUGUAGUGGUGAAAUGCGCAGAUAUCAGGAGGAACACCGAUGGCGAAGGCAGGUCUCUGGGCCGAGUACUGACGCUGAGG
rnacentral:rRNA from 1 species